AAGCGGUGGAGUAUGUGGCUUAAUUCGAGGCUACGCGCAGAACCUUAUCCCGGGCUUGACAUGCACGGAUUAGUCGGCGGAAACGUCGACGACGCCGCAAGGUGGAACGUGCACAGGUGCUGCAUGGCUGUCGUCAGCUCGUGCCGUGAGGUGUUGGGUUAAGUCCCGUAACGAGCGAAACCCCUGUCCCUAGUUGCCAGCGAGUCAUGUCGGGGACUCUAGGGAGACCGCCGGCGUCAAGCCGGAGGAAGGCGGGGAUG
rnacentral:rRNA from 1 species